GGGGUUGUGACUCACUGGUAGAGUGCUCGCCUGGCAUGUGCGAGGCACUGGGUUCAAUCCUCAGUACCACA
rnacentral:tRNA from 1 species